CAAGUACAGCUAUCUGUUUCCUUUAUAUUAAAGAGACCUACCCUAGACGAUCAAGCGAAGCAUACUUCGAGAAUAUGCAGUUGAUACUGAACUUUUAGAGAGAGAGCAAGUUGAACGCUGUUUUUCCCUUCCAGGACCAGAAACGACUCAAUUCAACAGGGCGCACUUGGUGACGUCAUAUGGGAUCGCCUGUAUAGCGGAAAUGAAGCCGGAGGCGCGGACUCUGACGGUGAGGGGGAG